UUAACUGACUCAUUUACACAAUAAAAGCGAGUUAUAGUGACGUCACACUGCUAUGAAGCGCUCUCAGUGCGUUUCGGUUCAACGUGAACGUCCGCUUCCUGUUUGGACGGUCACGUGAUCGGCCGCUGUCCUCGCGCUGCGGGACUCGGAGGAAAUCCCACUGGAGCGCGCUGCUCGGCUGCGUCUCCUGCUCAAGUUUAAUAUUUGAUGAAAUUAGUUCUGCUCGCUGCGUCUGUGCUCGUACUUCUGCUCGGUGCCUCGCAGCCAGAAUUUGCCUUUUUAGUUAAUGAUUAGUGUGUUUCACCCGCAAUAAGUCAUGAUUUAAAGCUACUGACGCUGUUUACCUUAAGAAAAUAUUGAUUUAACCUGAAAACCAACAUUACGAAAUACACAGUGUAUGCAAUUUAGACAAUAGGCAGCUUCCACCUGAAGACGAGGAGCUUAGAGGCAGCGGGAGAAUCGGACUUGAACUCGUGUUUGGACUGGAGUCCAGUGAUUGAUGCACGGCCGCUCCUCUGUCCAUCCGCUGUCACCACUCUCACGCCUCUGAGAGAAAAGGCUGCUCCUCAACCUGCGCUCAUGUGCACGACUUUGGAAUAGUUUUACCUACAGGGAAAAUACGAUGGAGAGAGUUCAGAGGUCAGUGACACAUCUGGCGCUGCCUUCGAGUGCCCCCGUUGGUAAAACCUCCACAAACACGUUCCUCCAGUCCAGUGAGUGCAGGUGUCACUGUUGAACUGAACCCGAGCUGUUCGCUGUCUUUUAGCCGAUCUUCGCAGCCGUGAAGUCGCGUGUAACAGAAACAGCAGAACGCGUUUGUGUUUCACCGCCGAGCGGCGGGAGGCCGGCUGCUGCGUUUAGGUGCAACGGGACGUUCCAGCAUCAGCCAAGGGCGUCAGAGUUACAGGCGAGUCUGAUCCUUAUCUAAAGGUCUUCCUGUAUUUGAAAUCUGCACAAGCUGCUACACAUUGUUCCUUAGAUCCUGCAGAUGUGUGCAACACAAUGACACCGAGCUCUGGCCCGUUUUCUCUUUUUACUUUCCAUCAGUCCUUUUCAUUCAAACUAUGAACCGAUUUAAACGUUUUUAGUUUAUUUGCAGGCGAGGAUUCUUGGAUUGAGGAAGCAGCAAAGUGGCUGCUUCCUCAAUCCACAGAUUUGGCACCGACGUCCACAUUUCAUAAUAUUUUCAUCAUUCUGUGUCCACUAAGGACGUUUGGCUUCGCUCCCAGCUGUUUAUCAGUCUGGCAUUCAACACGAUAUCUGUUACGUUUCAGGAGAACAUUGUGAGACGCUUUUGGAAAAAGUUGUUUGUUUUGUCUUAUAAAAGCACUGAAACCGCGCUGGCAUCAUGUGUGUUGGAACAUUUUCUGCAACAACAAACUGAGGAAAUUGCUCUGUUUUAGCAGAUACUUCUUAUUUUUUAAACAUUUUGCGGCGUUAGUAGCGAUCAUUUAUCAUCUGGGGGACUUCGUUCGGAGGUUCCAGCAGUUCCAGUGACAGAAGCACCAGACACCACAGCUGUGGAUCCAAACGAAGCGCCUUCGUCUUCUUCUCCGGCGCGUUGUUGUGCUUCGCUGCCUCUGGUGGAGUCAUCGGCCUCCUGCUGUGAGAGACAAACAAAAUGGAGGCCGAACCUUCCCACCUUCUACACUGGUGGAUUGAAGCGCGCUGAGACGUUUGUGUACGUGGUCGUUGCAGUGGUUUGUGAUGUUUGUUUGUGUCCUGUUCCUAUAGCAACAACAGACGCCUGCUUCAAUAAGAACUUGAUCAGAUUUAGCAUUUUUAGCCCGUUAGAAAUGAGCUGCAAUGAGAUUCUUUCCUCCUCCCCCACAGAGCAACAGCGUAUUUGUUCCUCUCACAUCACAUGUGAUGUUGUGUCCUGUGUUGUGGAUCCCGUCGUUCCCGCCAACAAUCUUUGCCCCAUUUUCCUCUGCAUCAUUAUGUUGUUUUGCUUCUUCCCGGCUUUGGCCGUUUCCCACCCACUUCAUGUCCCCCUGAGAAGCUGGCAGCAGACGUUCAGAUCCCUCCAACCUCUGCUAUCUGGGAAUCUGCUGCCCUUUGGUUUAAAUAGCAGAACCCUCUGUGGCCCAAAUUCCAUCCACAAACAGGAAGCGAGGACCUUAUUGCUGAGGGAGGAUGUUGCUCGGUGUUUAUUUUUGCAGCUUGUUUCGCCACAUAAGAAACAUGAAAAUCAGAUCAUUUGGUCCAAGUCAAUUCCCAAUAUCAUUAAAUAUACUCUGCACGAUCUUUAUUAAUUUCUAUUUUUAUUUCAUGUGACUGUGCUUUGGGAAUGUGGUUGUUUAUCCGUAAUCUCAGUGGAGUUAUUUUUCUUUCAUUUGCUCAUUCUGAUCAGAUGGUCCCAGUGGGGGAACCUCUUCAGCAUUUCCUGUUGUUCAGAGCGUUAAGUGUAGGAGUUUCUUAUCAUAAUAAGACUUUGUUUGAGAGUCUGUAUCAGCACGUUAUUAGAACAACAACAGGCUCAAAGUCAUUUUGCCUCUAAAAGACCCAAAAGUGUGAGACAGAGACGAGUCCGCGGCUGCCAAGAAGAAAAGAGCCAUUUGUUUUUAUUUCUGAGCUGCAAACAAUAUGCAGCACAUGUUCUCACGGUAGUCUCUCAAUCUGCCAGCUCUUGUGGAACAUAGUUUUGUUUUCUGCUGUGGAUGAAGCAAUAAACACAGUCCCUGCCGGCUCUGGCUUUGUUGUCAUUGUAGGAAGCAUAACAGCUGAGCCAGUGAACUGGGGUUACUGCGUUCCACCAGCGUCAGGAGAAGGGAAGACGUCGCCUUCAGAUCAUUCCUGCUAAUGUGAAGAACACAAACAGCCUCAGUGGUCGAUGUCAUCAUCAUCACGGACGAGUGCGAGGCUCUGCCCUCAAGUUUACAGCUCCUUUAACUGUUGUCUGGCGUGAAACUAUUAUGAGGAUCGACUCAGCUCAGGGCCGAUUAGCUGUAGCGCUGUUUAUUAGCUUCAUUUCAUUCCUGUCUGCCAGAGGCCAGAAUGCAAACUUGAAGGUUUGAGCUAGUUCAUAACCACAAAGUGAGACGUUGUUGGUCAAAGCAGCUCAACCAGUAUUUUAUGUUGAGCCAAAAGACAACGUGAAAAAACAGACUUUUGAGUGAUGAAGCUUAAGCGAAUCGCUGACUUUUGCUCCACUCUGCCCGUAUCGCUGUCGAUGCGGACCAUCGUCUGUUUACACCUGACUCCCAGAAUCAGUCGACCGAUCGGCCGCUCACCAGUCGAAGCCCAUGGAGCUUGAAGCCGGGACGCUUCGAUCUGCUCCCGCGGGACCGAUGCGUUAGCGACCGUCGCCGCUCUGCUGCGUCGUCUCCCGGUCUCAGCUCAGCCAGGCAGCGUUAGCAGCCGGUGAACAGGCAGCUGUAGGCCAGGAAAUCAGCUGUUUGAUGAUGCUUUUGAUCACUUUACAUUCAUCGUGUGUUAAUUACUGCCCCCAAGGGGCCAAAAGCACAGGCGCUGCAGCUUUAAACACAAGCGUGAACAAUUACAUAUGUGUGGUGAAACUUCACGUGUUUGCAUAAAGCAAGUGUCUAUUAAAAACCUGUCUCCUGUGAAAGUUCCUUCUGGAUAAUUGCAUCUCCCACUAAGGUGAAGGAGUCUGCAGCUGUAAAACAUGAAGGCAAAGCU